GUGAGCUACAGCUCACUUCAUCGGAAUGCAUCUGAUGAAGUGAGCUGUAGCUCACGAAAGCUUAUGCUCAAAUAAAUUUGUUAGUCUCUAAGGUGCCACAAGUACUCCUUUUUUCUUAAAUUUUUUAGUUAGACUUAAUAGAAGACUUUUUUUAAGAUGUAGUUUUCUCCUUGUAGACCUUCUUAAGAACUAAGGGUGUUAGUAAAGUUUUAGUUAAACAUAAAUGUAUGUAUGCUUGACAAAGGAAUUUUCAAAGCUGCAGCAACAGUAAAGAAUCCUCUAUCUGAGCAAAUAGUGUGGCUCUAAGAGCUUGGCCUUAGAUGUGAGGCCUGAUCCAAAGCCUUUUGAAAUCAAUGAAUGGCAAGACUUCCAUUGACUUAAAUGGGCUUCGGUUCAGGCCCUUAGAGCCUGAACCUGUAAACAUGAGUAACUUUACUCACAUGUAUGUAUUUAGUAAAACUAUGCAUGUAGGUGUUUUCAGAUCAUACCCCAAAAAUGAUAAUGGUAGAUACUACCAGAAUGCAUUCUGUUACCUUGAAACGUACUGUACUAUGGUCAUUGCUGUGUAACUCUAUUGAUUUCAGCUAAAUUACACCAGGGCUAAAUUCUGCUACUUAACAACUCAGAUUGAGAGUAUGCAUAAUGGCUAUUAAUUGAACCUCUAUUCCUCUACUCUCAUUUACCAUACCUCAUUUACACUCGUGAUUUUUCACGAUCAGCUGCAAAAGUGAUGGGAAAUUGGAAUAAGACAAUCCAUUUUAAAAGAUCUGCAAGCUGCUUAUACAUUAUUAUCUGCAAUUUAAUUUGCACUACAGAGCCAUCUCAGACAAGCAUGAUCUCUUAACUUGUGUUUGAAAGUGAGAACAAUGCUGGGAAAGCAUGGUCAUGUUCUUUAUGGCAAACCAAUUAGAUAGCUAACUAAAUAGGACGGUGCAAAGUGAGUAUGGCGUCUCAGGAUGGAGAGCGGGAAGUUUUCAAUAGGUACAGUUUAUGGAGAAUUUACAUUGAACAUAGUGUAAUCCUUGGUACUGUUGCCCAGGUCAGAAGUUGCAAUUAUCAAAAAGUGUGCUACAUCAGGAAGGAGGACAUUUCUUGAAAUGUUUAAUGUAUAAUAUGAUGAUAUCCUGUUCCAGAGCAUUAAGCACACACGUCCCAUUAGUAAUAAUAUGAGUUGCAGGAAUACAAGAAAGCUUCCCCAGUUUCUUCAGUGAAGCCUUCCAAAGUCAACAUGACCAAAAGUUUUUUCUCCCUGUAAAGUUUUUUCUUUCUGUAAUUGUGAUAUUUUUUUAUUAAAAUAGCUUCUUUUUUUAAUAGCCUUUUCUUGGAGGCAGCCAUAUUGCAUGCACACACAGAAUAGGCAUAUAAAGACAAUUUUGUACUUUUUGAUGCCCUUAGUCUCUAAUAUAACUGCCAUUUCAUAUUGUCGCUUGCUAAAUUCUUAGCUUGAUGUUUUAGAAUCUUGAAGGAGCAGGUCUUCCUAGCUUCAUUUUAGACAGUUCAUUUUUAACCAUUAAUAGUAGAAAAUGUAAAUGCUUCCAGUUGAGUUGGCACUAUGCAGCCCAUUGUGAUUCCAUUGUUAUUUAGUACAUUUUCCCCAGAUUAGGCUAUGAGGUUCAUUGAUAAGAGAAUCAUGAUGAAAAGUCUGUGUGGGGCCUUUAUAAUUAUAACUGUUUUAGUCUCAUUAUUUUCAAGAUCUUUCCCUCAAAUGCUCAUGCCAAUGGUAUUCUUGAAUAGUAAUUUGGGACUUCAGUGUCUCUGAGCAAAGUUGAGAUGUAUUCCAAAGACAUAGCUUCCAUUCACAGUAGGAGAUAUAUACUCACAUUCUAGAACACAAUUAGGCCCUAAGUUUAGACAGCAGGGCUCAGCAUUAAUGGUAGCAUUAUGAAUAAAGUAAUCUUCAUCCUUAAAGGGACAGCAGAUGUGUGAUUUUUUUAUUUUUUUUUUUUAAGAAGAGAGUUAGUUAGUUAGUCAGCAUGAGCAAAAUAAGGUAAAGUUUCACUUCAGUAGGGCAUUUUUUGCAUUAAAAUUAUUAGUAAAAAUACUGUGUUUACACUUUGUUUGAGUGUUCAUUCUGUUGGUGAAGGGUUGUUUAUAUAUAUAUAUUGUAUUAUAAUUUUUAAGCACUGGAUUACCACUUUUUAAAUGGAAACUGUAAGAAGAGAAAAUACAUUUUAGCAGAAAGCUUAUUAAGGAAUUAUGUUUAUAUAUGUUGCUAUAAUGUAUGUGGGCAGCAACUGUAUUUAUACCUCAUGGCCAGAAGAAUAUAUAAAAAUUAAUUUUGUUGUAUGUUUUCAGAACAUUUUGCCAAGUCAAGCAUAAAGAUAAAAAUAAUAAUUUCCUAUAUCUGUAACAGAAAUCCAAUUUACGCAGUGCAUCUAUUUUUCUACUGGUCUUGACUGUUAAUGUAAUUUGUUACUGUAAACUCUUAUAGUUCAACAAAGAUUGUUUAUAUUUGCACUGAUGGUGCUAUUUAUUUGCUUUUGAAAAUAUUGGGGUUUGCACAUGUUCAAGAUUGAACAAGAAUGGUGAAAGACAGUGAAGUAUCUUUGGUAUUGAAAAUAUAUAGAAAUAAACUAAUUCAUGCUGACAUAGUAGGGCAUAUUCUGACUUCUGUGGAGUUAUUCAAGAUUCAUAUUGAUGUAACAGAGAGCAGAAUUUGGCCCAGGACAUUAGUUGUGCAUUAGAAACUAACAGCUGGGCAUUGGCAAUGUAGAAAAUUGGUGCACAGAGACACUGAAAAGUUAAAACAUCAAUGCAGGCUCACAACUCCUACUUACCGACACUACUUACUAAGGUGCAUGUUCUAGAGAAAAAAAAACAUGUUUAGGAAAGGAGAUAUUGAAUGUAAAAAAACCAAAUUGCUUCUUUAAAAAGAGUUAGUCAGUUGCUGCAGACUUAGAUUUCAAAGAAUUCCUAUGAAAUGUGCAAUUAAAGGAAAACUUUACUGAUUAAUGAUAAUAGUUUAGAUAGCUAAAUAAUUCAGGCUAAGAUCUUCAAAGGAGCUUAAAUUCAAUGAGAAUUAGGCACUGGACUCCUUUAGGUCCUUGCCUUAUAAAACAAUAGCCAAAUUCUACCUUUUUCACACAUAUGGAAUCAGAAUUUGGCUUCGACAAUAAAUAUUUUUAGAAAAAUAAAUGUUCAAAAGUUUUAAAUUAUACAUAGUGUGGUUCAUUAUCUCCAUAACUAUGCAAAAUGCUGGUAUUUCAGUGACAGCUGUGAUUUUAAUGAUACUUCCUAGCAGGUAGUCCCUGAAUCAUAGGAAAUGUUACUCAGUAUCUGGAUGCAAGAGAAAGGCAGGAGACUUUCAGACAAGUAAAGUUCUAUUAGUUUUCAGAAUUUUUGUUAGUUAGCAGAGUGUCAAGAUGGCAGCUACUGUUAUAUGUUCCUUAUUAUGUUUAAGAUAUUUUUGACAUGAUUUACUCCUUGUAAUUACAAUAUCUUUUAUGUUACAUUGAAAGGAAGAGAGGAAGCAUCAUAGAAUGAUUAAGGCAUAAAAAUUAGGAAUCAGAUCUGGGUUUACUUUCUAGCUUUGCCACACAUGCAACUGGCGUCAUGUAUCUCUCUAGUCUGUUUUCAUUGACGGAGCAUUAGUCAUUACAGCAUCUCAGCAUAGUGUGCCUCAGAGGGAGGAAGGAUGGUCCAAUGGUUAGGGCACUAACCUGAGACUCAGGACACCUUCAUUUGGGUCUGUAUUUGGGGCGGGGGGGGGGGGAGAAAUGAUGUAGUCAUAUCCUAUGAUGAUUAUUACACACUUUCCGUUACACUAGUAUAUCAGGAGAAUGUUAAACAGUAGGUACUAAAGUUAGACUUUUUAAAAUCAACAGAUCCAAGAGUGUUAAAAGAGCUAGCUGAGGAGAUUUUUUCAAUAUCUCUUAGAACACUGGGUAAGUUCCAGAAGACUGGAAGAAAGCUAAUGUUGUGCCAAAACCUAAAAAAAGCUAAACAGGAUGAUUGGGUAAUUAUAAGCCUGCUAGUGUUACACUGAUCCCUGGCAAGAUAAUGGAGCAGCUGAUACAGGACUCAGUUAGUAAAAAAAAUUAAACUAGGGUAAUAUAAUUAAUGUCAAUCAACAUAGACUUAUGGGAAAAGAUCCUGCAAAAUCAACUUGAUAUCCUUUUUGAUUAGAUGACAGGUUUGGUUGAUAAAAAUAUGAGUUGAUGUAAUAUAUUUAGACUUCUGGAAGGUGUUUAACUUGGUACCGCACAACAUUUUGAUUAAAAAACUAGAACUAUAUAAAAUUAACAUAGCACUAGGGCUGUCUGUUAAUCGCAGUGAACUCACAUGAUUAACUCAAAAAAACCUAAUCAUUUCUUUAUUGAAAAAGUGCAAUUUACAAAUGUAGAUUUUUUGUGACAUAACUGCACUCAGAAACAAAACAAUGUAAAACUUUAGAGCCUACAAGUCCAUUCAGUCCUACUUCUUGUUCAGCCAAUCGCUAAGACAAACAAGUUUGAUUACAUUUAUGGGAGAUAAUGCUGCUGCUUCUUAUUUACAGUGUCUCCUGAAAGUGAGAACACGCAUUUGCAUGGCACUUUCGUAGCUGACAUUACAAGGUAUUUAUGUGCCAGAUAUGCUAAACAUUUGUAUGUCCCUUCAUACUUUGGUCACCAUUCCAAAGGACAUGCUUCCAUGCUGAUGAUGCUCGUUAAAAAUAUUCUAUUAAUUAAAUUUGUGACUGAACACCUUGCCUGAGAAUUGUAUGUAGUCUUCUCUGUUUUACUCACAUUCUGCCAUAUAUUUCAUGUUAUAGCAGUCUCGGAUGAUGACCCAGCACAUGUUGUUCGUUUUAAGAACACUUUCACUGCAGAUUUGACAAAACUCAAAGAAGGUACCAAUGUGAGAUUUCUAAAGAUAGCUACAGCAUUCAACCCAAGUCUUAAGAAUCUGAAGUGCCUUCCAAAAUCUGAAAGGGACGAGGUGCAGAGCAUACUUUAAGAAGUCUUAAAAGAGCAACACUCUGAUAUGGAAACUACAGAACCCGAACCACUUCAAAAGAUAUCAACCAUCUGCUGGUGGCAUCUGACUCAGAUAAUGAAAAUGAGUUGCUCUGCACUUCUUUGGAUUGUUAUCAAGCAGAACCUGUCAUCAGCAUGGCCGCAUGUCCUCUGGAAUGGUGGUUGAAGCAUGAAGGAACAUAUCAAUCUUUAGCACAUCUGGCACAUAAAUAUCUUGUGACGCCAGCUACAACAUUGCCAUGCAAACUCCUGUUCUAUCUUUCAGAUGACAUUGUAAACAGGAAGCAGGCAGCAUUAACUCCUGGAAAUGUAUACAAACUUGUUUGAGCACUUGGCUGACCAAGAAAUAGGACUGAGUGGAGUUGUAGGCUCUAAAGUUUUACAUUUUUAUUUUUGCAUGCAGUUAUUUUUGUACAUAAUUCUACAUUUGUAAAUUCAACUUUCAUGAUAAAGAGAUUGCACUACAGUACUUGUAUUAGAUGAACUGAAAUACUUUUUCUUGUUUUUUUAGUGUGCACUGUACACUUUGUAUUCUGUAUUGUAAUUGAAAUCAAUAUAUUUGAAAAUGUAAAAAACAUCCAAAAAUAUUUAAAUGAUAUUCUAUUAAUUUUAAUCAUGCAAUUAAUAUAAAUUAAUUCUUUAAUUGCUUGACAGCCCUACAUACCACACAUUAAAGGACUAAAAGCUGGCUUACAUCUCAACAUGUAAUCAUAAAUGGAGAAUUAGUGAGUGGAUGUGUACCACAGGGAUCAGUUCUUGGCCUUUCACUUUUACAAUAUUUAUCAAUGACCUGGAAGAAAGCAUAAAAACGUCACUAAUAUAGGUUGCAGAUGACACAAAACUGGGAGAUGGUAAACAAUGAAGAGGACAGGUCACUGAUUCAGAGCAAAGGAUCUGGAUCACUUGAUGAACUGGGAACAAACAAUACAGCUAAAUGUAAAUGUAUACAUCUAGGAACAAAGAAUGUAGGCCAUAUUUACAGGAUGGGGAACUCUAUCCUGGGAAACAGUGACUCUGAAAAAAGAGGUGGCAGUUAUGAUGGAUAAUCAACUAAACAUUAACUCCCAGUGCAAUGCUAUGGGCAAAUGAGCAAUGCUAUCUUUGAAUGCAUAAAUGGGAAUCUUAAGUACGAAUAGAGAGCAAAGAAUUAUUAUUCAUACAAUUGCAGUUUUCCUGUAACACAUUCAUAUUUUUAAAAAAGAUGAGCUGGUGCAUGUCUCCCCUAACCAAAAAAGCUUUCAAAAAAUUUUAAAGGGAAUGUUCUCGUAAAAACAGGAUAAAAAUUUCAGUGCAGUGAUCAUUCAUUGGUAUGUGUGUACCUCAGCUUCUUUAUGCCAUUUUCUUUGGAUAAUGUUCAUCCUAGUGCAGAGGUGUCUACGCAUGGUUUAAAGUAGAUUAUGUAAAAAUUCCAUAUCCAGAUUUUUUUGAGAGAACAGUUGUUGUAAAAGGCCUUUUCCAAACUUUAUGGUCUAAUUCAAUUUGCGUUCUUUUUGCAUGUGGUGAUAAUAAAAACUUUUUCCCCUUGCCACCCUUCACUUCAGAAGUAGAUCGCAGGGAUUUUAUUUUUCAUGAAGUAUCCAUUAUUCCAUUGGUUUGGUCAGAGGGGGAAUUUAAAAAUUAUUUACAUUUGAUCUUUAUGCAUAGAAUACAAAUUGACAUGUAAAUAAAGUUCAAGUACUGAUUCCUGUGAAAGUCAAAGGGGAAAGUGUUUUCCCUUGUAUUUUGUAGACAGCCUAUUAAGAUUUCCAUUUUCCAAGCAAGUUCUCUUUUCACUUUUCUAUUUCACAUGGAUUCUGUAGUUUUGGGGUUUGCCUCUAUAUAAACAUCACUUGCAUGAUUGUUGAAAUAAUAAUAAUAUAGGAUUAUUCUCAUAAAAUAAGGGGCUUUUGUUGCUAGUCUUCCGUACAGUAGAUGUUUAAACUGGAUUCUUAAUCAGAGUUAUGUAGAGAGAGGAAGGCUGAAAGAAGUUACAUUUGUACUGGGAUUAGUGGGGCAAUAUCUACAAUUGAUAGUAAUUUGUAAAACAGGGCACUAUUUAAUAGAUUAAUAAAUAGUAUACUUUCUGACUUGAUUCUUAAUGGCAAUUCAAAUAAACAGAUUUUAGACAAAGUGGAUGGAGAAACAAGCAAUGAAAUAUUGUAUUAUGCAAUUAUCUAUUACUGAGACUUUAUAAUCAACCUUCUAGUCAAUUUACUUGGGGAGACAGGAAAACACAUUUUCUAGAAAUCUAUUUAUUCAUUGAUGUAUGUUUGUGAGCAGAAGAAUCGAAACAGGUAUAGUGAGUAUUGUUGCUGAACAGCAGCAACAUUGGGGGUCUUUGGAAGAGAAGUUAGUGACAUAAAGACUCAGGAUAUUUCUAAUAAAUAGACUGGCUUCACAUCUCAGUUACAUUUGUGUAAAUGAGAAAUAGGUGCAUUGAAAUAAGCAGCAUUUCUGGAUCCAUGCAAAUCUAACUUUGAUCAGAAUCUGGCCAUGUGUCAUCACACUCUGUGCACAUACCAACUGUGAUGCUUUAGGUAAAUUUAUUAGGUGAAAGUGUCCGUUUAUUCUGACACUUAUAUUUUUGUGUGAAGAAUGCACUUUUUUCAAACCAACUUGAAUUAAACCUGUGAUUUAUUUUAAGAACUAUUUGAUAUACGUCUUGUAGCAGAGCAUGUGUACAUGUUCACUUUAUAACAGACCUCAAAUCCUUUCUGCUCAAUGCUUACACCACAACAAUUAUGCUAGUAACCUCUCCUACCUCUGGAUGUAUGUACACAGCUCCCACUGAUUUUGAAGGGAGGCCUGCCUGCACAUUUAAUUGAUGCUUUAGAUAUAUUUCAAAUACAAAAGGAGAGUCUAAGGCUGUGUGCAGGUGUUAACACCAGUUCAACUGUUAGUAGUAAUUUUUGGGGGGUAACAUUUCCUCAUGCAGACAAAGCUUAAAAGGUUGCCUUGCUCCAUAUUUGCCUGCCUUGCUCCAUUGGUCCAUAUUUGCCUGCCUCCUUCUUGAGUUGCGUGGUUAAGAGUCAUUCGCCUCUAGAGAAUGGCCUGGUGUCCCAAUACAAAGCCUGGGUCAAUCAUGGCCCAGUAGUGCUUUGUAGAUUUUGAAUAUAUGCAAAUGUAAUGUAUUUAUUUCCUUAAAAUGACUCCAAACCCAUUCAAAAUGUCUGAGUUUCUUCCCACUCCUAAAAUAUAUUCUUCUCCUGGAUACUCACUGAAUACAUGAGUUUAAUGACUCUAUUCAUAAAAGCUGCUCCUGAGAUACUUUUGAUAUUCCAUUGAUAUUUGAGAACAAUAGGGAAUGCUCUAGACAGCUGUGGAGGCCACCAGCGCUGUCCUUGCUCUCCCUGAUUCGGUGCCUGAGUUCUACACCUGCUGCCCAAGAAAAGGGAUGAGAGGAGAGAUAAACAACCCAUUGUUGGCUCUCCCCAGGAGAGUUAAAAGUCAGUGGAAAUAAAUGAGUUUCCACUGAGCUUUUUGGCCAAGUGACUCAGGGAUAGCGGGGAAAGAAAUGGCCAUCACCUGAGUUCCCUUCUCCAGAGAAGUAUUUGCUACCAGUCUCAAUUUGGCUGGAACUCCCCAGAAUUUUGACAGAGUCCCAGUUAUCUGCCUCUUUGUUCUGAGUAUUCAGAACUUCUGUGUCUGCUUACAAGGCUGUACUGGAGGCUUCAGAUGUCUCAUCCUCUUCCGAGCUCUCACUGUCCACUGUUGGUUCCUAUGCCUUGCUGCAGUGGCAGAGGGAACCGUCCAUUGGUCCUUGCCAGCUGCAGCAGUUAGCCCAAUUUAGGAGGGAAGAAAGGGAACACAGUGGAGGGGGCAGAAAGAAAAAGGGAGAAAAUGAGGACCAGUGGUGAAAGGAAGUGGGGUGGAAGUAGAGAGAAAUGAGGGGGCAGAAAGAGAAGGGAGCAAAUAUUUGGGUAGAUAUUACUAUUAACACCCAGGCAUUGAUGUCAGGAAGUGAGAGCUGGUAGAACCUCGGCAUAUGGGGCCAAAGGGAAUGGUGA